CCAGGUCUGAGCUGUUUCAAAUCAGCAGAUAUCCCAGGAGAGAAAAUAGCCUGUGAAAGUUAGCUAACCUAGAGAUACAGGGAGUCCAUGGAGCCUCCCCUGCAAGCAUCAGUGCAGAAGUCUGUGAUAACCCAGAUGCAGGCCCAGGACUGUGUUGGACCUGGGGAGGAGUCCGCUGACUCAGAAGACUUGCAUCUAAGGACUUGGCUGUCCUUAUCCUUAAGUAUGAUGACUAUGUUUGCAAUUCCAGUAGACUCCUUUAUGUGUUCUGAAUAAAUAUGCCUUUUGGAAGUGAACU